GACGAACGCUGGCGGCGUGCUUAACACAUGCAAGUCGAACGGAAAGGCCCUGCUUUUGUGGGGUGCUCGAGUGGCGAACGGGUGAGUAACACGUGAGUAACCUGCCCUUGACUUUGGGAUAACUUCAGGAAACUGGGGCUAAUACCGGAUAGGAGCUCCUGCUGCAUGGUGGGGGUUGGAAAGUUUCGGCGGUUGGGGAUGGACUCGCGGCUUAUCAGCUUGUUGGUGGGGUAGUGGCUUACCAAGGCUUUGACGGGUAGCCGGCCUGAGAGGGUGACCGGCCACAUUGGGACUGAGAUACGGCCCAGACUCCUACGGGAGGCAGCAGUGGGGAAUAUUGCACAAUGGGCGGAAGCCUGAUGCAGCAACGCCGCGUGCGGGAUGACGGCCUUCGGGUUGUAAACCGCUUUCGCCUGUGACGAAGCGUGAGUGACGGUAAUGGGUAAAGAAGCACCGGCUAACUACGUGCCAGCAGCCGCGGUGAUACGUAGGGUGCGAGCGUUGUCCGGAUUUAUUGGGCGUAAAGGGCUCGUAGGUGGUUGAUCGCGUCGGAAGUGUAAUCUUGGGGCUUAACCCUGAGCGUGCUUUCGAUACGGGUUGACUUGAGGAAGGUAGGGGAGGAUGGAAUUCCUGGUGGAGCGGUGGAAUGCGCAGAUAUCAGGAGGAACACCAGUGGCGAAGGCGGUUCUCUGGGCCUUUCCUGACGCUGAGGAGCGAAAGCGUGGGGAGCGAACAGGCUUAGAUACCCUGGUAGUCCACGCUGUAAACGGUGGGUACUAGGUGUGGGGUCCAUUCCACGGGUUCCGUGCCGUAGCUAACGCUUUAAGUACCCCGCCUGGGGAGUACGGCCGCAAGGCUAAAACUCAAAGGAAUUGACGGGGCCCCGCACAAGCGGCGGAGCAUGCGGAUUAAUUCGAUGCAACGCGUAGAACCUUACCUGGGUUUGACAUGGAUCGGGAGCGCUCAGAGAUGGGUGUGCCUCUUUUGGGGUCGGUUCACAGGUGGUGCAUGGCUGUCGUCAGCUCGUGUCGUGAGAUGUUGGGUUAAGUCCCGCAACGAGCGCAACCCUUGUUCACUGUUGCCAGCACGUUAUGGUGGGGACUCAGUGGAGACCGCCGGGGUCAACUCGGAGGAAGGUGGGGAUGACGUCAAGUCAUCAUGCCCCUUAUGUCCAGGGCUUCACGCAUGCUACAAUGGCUGGUACAGAGAGUGGCGAGCCUGUGAGGGUGAGCGAAUCUCGGAAAGCCGGUCUCAGUUCGGAUUGGGGUCUGCAACUCGACCUCAUGAAGUCGGAGUCGCUAGUAAUCGCAGAUCAGCAACGCUGCGGUGAAUACGUUCCCGGG
rnacentral:rRNA from 1 species